rnacentral:tRNA from 1 species
GGAGGCAUAGCUCAGUUGGGAGAGCGUUCGCCUGACGCGCGAAAGGUCACAGGUUCGAGCCCUGUUGUCUCCA